rnacentral:rRNA from 1 species
UACUAGAGUAGCACUCGCAUAUCAAUAAGCGGAGGAAAAGAAACUAACAAGGAUUCCCUUAGUAACGGCGAGUGAAGCGGGAAGAGCUCAAAUUUGAAAUCUUCAAGGUUUUACCUUGACGAAUUGUAGUUUAAAGAAGUGUUUUCUGUUGAAGUUUUCGGUAAAAGUUCUUUGGAAUAGGACAUCAUAGAGGGUGAGAAUCCCGUAUUUGACCAUUACUUUCCAGCUGUGUGAUACACUUUCAAAGAGUCGGAUUGUUUGGGUAUGCAGUCCAAGAUGGGUGGUAAAUUUCAUCUAAAGCUAAAUAUUGGCGAGAGACCGAUAGCGAACAAGUACCGUGAGGGAAAGAUGAAAAGAACUUUGAAAAGAGAGUUAAACAGUACGUGAAAUUGUCAAAAGGGAAGCGUUUGACACCAGUGUUGUUUUCUCGAAAAUCAAUUAAAAAUGAUGGGAUUUUGUGUUGUAUUGACUUUAUCAGCUUUCUGCACUUUUUUCUUAUCUUUUUUAAUGCACUUUUCGUUUAACAAGUCAACAUCAAUUUCUUUUGUUGUAAAAGAGUCAUUGGAAGGUGGCUUUUUCUUCGGAAAAAGUGUUUAUAGCCUUUGGCUUCUGCAAUCGGAGAGAUUGAGGUCUGCAGCGUAGAUCCUUCGGGGUUAGAUACAUUUGUGCUAAGCUAUAGUUCUUUAUAGACAACUUGUUGACUAUAAUCAAUCCUGUAACUUACUCGCUUAUGCUAUUUUACCUACGCUUAGGAUGUUGAUAGUCACAGCGUGUAC